rnacentral:rRNA from 1 species
AAAGCCGAGUCGGCAUGCGUUACUCAUGCAAGUCGAGCGGAAGGCCCCUUCGGGGGUACUCGAGCGGCGAACGGGUGAGUUGAAGGCAACCUGCCCCUGACUCUGGGAUAAGCCUGGGAAACGGGUCUAAUACCGGAUAUGACGUGCUCCCGCAUGGGAUGUUCGUGGAAAGUUUUUCGGUUGGGGAUGGGCUCGCGGCCUAUCAGCUUGUUGGUGGGGUGAUGGCCUACCAAGGCGACGACGGGUAACCGGCCUGAGAGGGCGACCGGUCACACUGGGACUGAGACACGGCCCAGACUCCUACGGGAGGCAGCAGUGGGGAAUAUUGCGCAAUGGGCGGAAGCCUGACGCAGCGACGCCGCGUGAGGGAUGACGGCCUUCGGGUUGUAAACCUCUUUCAGCAGGGACGAAGCUAACGUGACGGUACCUGCAGAAGAAGCGCCGGCUAACUACGUGCCAGCAGCCGCGGUAAUACGUAGGGCGCAAGCGUUGUCCGGAAUUAUUGGGCGUAAAGAGCUCGUAGGCGGUCUGUUGCGUCCGUCGUGAAAGCCCACGGCUUAACUGUGGGUCUGCGGUGGAUACGGGCAGACUAGAGGCAGGUAGGGGAGCAUGGAAUUCCCGGUGUAGCGGUGAAAUGCGCAGAUAUCGGGAGGAACACCGGUGGCGAAGGCGGUGCUCUGGGCCUGUACUGACGCUGAGGAGCGAAAGCGUGGGGAGCGAACAGGAUUAGAUACCCUGGUAGUCCACGCCGUAAACGUUGGGCGCUAGGUGUGGGGUCCUUCCACGGAUUCCGCGCCGUAGCUAACGCAUUAAGCGCCCCGCCUGGGGAGUACGGCCGCAAGGCUAAAACUCAAAGGAAUUGACGGGGGCCCGCACAAGCGGCGGAGCAUGUUGCUUAAUUCGACGCAACGCGAAGAACCUUACCAAGGCUUGACAUCGCCGGAAAACUCGCAGAGAUGCGGGGUCCUUUUGGGCCGGUGACAGGUGGUGCAUGGCUGUCUUCAGCUCGUGUCGUGAGAUGUUGGGUUAAGUCUCGCAACGAGCGGCAACCCUCGUUCCAUGUUGGCCGGCACGUAUUUGUUGGGGGACUCAUGGGUAGACCGGCCGGGGUCAACUCCGAAGGAAGGUGGGGGAUGACCUCCAUAUCCUACUUGCCCACUUAGGUGCUUGGGGCUGUCAAACUAGUCAU